GCUAUCUGCCUAACGGAAGGCUUCGAUACCGAAGGGCCCGGGUUCGAAUCCCGGAGAAGGCA
rnacentral:tRNA from 1 species